rnacentral:rRNA from 1 species
AUUGAACGCUGGCAGCAGGCUUAACACAUGCAAGUCGAGCGGGGGAAGGUAGCUUGCUACCGGACCUAGCGGCGGACGGGUGAGUAAUGCUUAGGAAUCUGCCUAUUAGUGGGGGACAACAUCUCGAAAGGGAUGCUAAUACCGCAUACGUCCUACGGGAGAAAGCAGGGGAUCUUCGGACCUUGCGCUAAUAGAUGAGCCUAAGUCGGAUUAGCUAGUUGGUGGGGUAAAGGCCUACCAAGGCGACGAUCUGUAGCGGGUCUGAGAGGAUGAUCGGCCACGCUGGGACUGAGACACGGCCCAGACUCCUACGGGAGGCAGCAGUGGGGAAUAUUGGACAAUGGGGGGAACCCUGAUCCAGCCAUGCCGCGUGUGUGAAGAAGGCCUUAUGGUUGUAAAGCACUUUAAGCGAGGAGGAGGCUACUUUAGUUAAUACCUAGAGAUAGUGGACGUUACUCGCAGAAUAAGCACCGGCUAACUCUGUGCCAGUCGCCGCCGUAA